CCUACUCCACUUUCCACAUCUCCGGGUCUGGUCCCGCAGUGGCCGGACUUCUCCCCGCGGAGAGUCUCAGGAAACUGCGAUAGGCUUGGCCCAGCUUGGCUUGUUUGUAGCCAGCCCUGGAGUGGCCUGAGAUGUGAAAUCCCAAUGUACAACAAAGGAGUUAUCAUCAAGUGAUGACAACUAUAAAAUAAAGUCAUCUCAAUGGAAGAUAAUGAAUGGAAAGACUUACAACCUAUGAAUUUGGAUGUUUUGUUUUUCAAGAUGACUGAGAGUAUAAUCACCAUUUUCAGACAGAACAGUGAAAUUGAGAAGAAUAUCUUAAAUCUGUGACAAUCACCCAUGAAAAUAUGCAAAGUCUCAGCCAACAAACAUUCAAUAGUCUACAUCAGAUAUAUCACACUAGGCAAAAACCCUAUGAAUGCAGAGAAUGUGGGAGAGUCUUCAAUUACCACUCACUGCUAAUUCACCAUGGGGAAGACAUACUAAAGAAAAAUGCUAUGAAUGUAAGACCCUAUGAAUGUGGUGAAUGUGGGAAAGCCUUCCAUCACUACUCAAUCAUUACUCAACAUCAAAGAAUUCACACUGUAGAAAGACCCUAUGAAUGUAACAACUGUAAUAAAGUCUUCUGUUAUCACUCAAA